rnacentral:rRNA from 1 species
CCUACGGGGGGCAGCAGUGGGGAAUAUUGCACAAUGGGGGAAACCCUGAUGCAGCGACGCCGCGUGAGUGAAGAAGUAUUUCGGUAUGAAAAGCUCUAUCAGCAGGGAAGAAGAAAGACGGUACCUGACUAAGAAGCCCCGGCUAACUACGUGCCAGCAGCCGCGGUAAUACGUAGGGGGCAAGCGUUAGCCGGAUUUACUGGGGGGAAAGGGAGCGUAGACGGCUGUGCAAGUCUGAAGUGAAAGCCCAGGGCUCAACCCUGGGACUGCUUUGGAAACUGUGGAGCUAGAGUGCUGGAGAGGUAAGUGGAAUUCCUAGUGUAGCGGGGAAAUGCGGAGAUAUUAGGAGGAACACCAGUGGCGAAGGCGGCUUACUGGACAGUAACUGACGUUGAGGCUCGAAAGCGUGGGGAGCAAACAGGAUUAGAUACCCCAGGAGUC